rnacentral:rRNA from 1 species
GGGGGCAGAGUGACAGGUGGUGCAUGGUUGUCGUCAGCUCGUGUCGUGAGAUGUUGGGUUAAGUCCCGCAACGAGCGCAACCCUUGAUCUUAGUUGCCAGCAUUCAGUUGGGCACUCUAAGGUGACUGCCGGUGACAAACCGGAGGAAGGUGGGGAUGACGUCAAAUCAUCAUGCCCCUUAUGACCUGGGCUACACACGUGCUACAAUGGACAGAACAAAGGGCAGCGAAACCGCGAGGUUAAGCCAAUCCCACAAAUCUGUUCUCAGUUCGGAUCGCAGUCUGCAACUCGACUGCGUGAAGCUGGAAUCGCUAGUAAUCGCGGAUCAGCAUGCCGCGGUGAAUACGUUCCCGGGCCUUGUACACACCGCCCGUCACACCACGAGAGUUUGUAACACCCGAAGUCGGUGAGGUAACCUUUAUGGAGCCAGCCGCCGNAAGGNNGGACAGAUGAUUGG